CCUACGGUGCGCAGCAGUGGGGGAUAUUGCACAAUGGGGGAAACCCUGAUGCAGCGACGCCGCGUGGGUGAAGACGCGCCUCGGCGCGUAAAGCCCUGUCAGCAGGGAAGAAAAUGACGGUACCUGAAGAAGCAGCCCCGGCUAACUACGUGCCAGCAGCCGCGGUAAUACGUAGGGGGCAAGCGUUAUCCGGAUUUACUGGGUGUAAAGGGGGCGCAGACGGUGAUGCAAGCCAGGAGUGGAAGCCCGGGGCCCAACCCCGGGACUGCUCGUGGAACUGCGUGGCUAGAGUGCAGGAGGGGCAGGCGGAAGUCCUGGUGUAGCGGUGAAAGGCGUAGAUAUCAGGAGGAACACCGGUGGCGAAGGCGGCCUGCUGGACUGCAACUGACGUUGAGGCCCGAAAGCGUGGGGAGCAAACAGGAUUAGAUACCCUGGUAGUC
rnacentral:rRNA from 1 species